UGCUGAAUCAGUUGUGGGG
rnacentral:misc_RNA from 1 species